CUCCCUCCUUCCUGCCCCUCAGGGCUCUGGCUGCUCUCUGCUCAGUCUCUGAAGGCCAGGAUGAGCUCCCCAUGGCAGCUGCUCUGGCUCCUGGUGCUCUGGGCUCAGGAUUCCCAAGGAGCCAUUGUGCUGACCCAGUCUCCAGUCUCCUUGUCCGGAUCUCCAGGAGAGACAGUCACCAUCAGCUGCAAGGCCAGUCAGAGUGUUAUUAGUUCUAGUACUAGUUACUUGCACUGGUACCAGCAGAAACCCGGCCAAGCCCCCAGGCUCCUCAUCUCCUUUGCUAACAGCCUGGCAUCCGGGGUCCCUGCCCGGUUCAGUGGCCAUGGGUCUGGGACAGAUUACACCCUCACCAUCAGCAGCCUGGAGCCUGAGGAUGCUGCGCAUUAUUACUGUCAGCAGAGUUAUAACAGCCCUCCCACAGUGCUUCAGGCCCGAACAAAAACCUCCCCAGUGCGUCCAGGGGACUCAGCUCAGAGCAGCAGGUGCCUCCUCAGGGUCCCCAGGGCAGAGCAGCCCCUGCUCUCUGGGCAGGCUCUCACCUCCGAGGGCUUCCCCUUUCUGGUCCCCCGGAAAUUCAUUCGAGGAGAUCAGGCCUGGAAUUAUCAGCAUGUCGCUGAAAAGGCUGCGGUGAGAGUAGCACAAUAUAAGUACAGGAAUCACUGGGGCAAAGUGAAUAAAAAGAAGGCUCAUGCCCUGAUUGCCUCGGCUAAAUCUGAUUGGGACCCUGAUAAAUGGGAUGGAGAUAUUUGGGAUGAAGAUGAUGAGUGA